rnacentral:rRNA from 1 species
AGGACAAACGCUGGCGGCGUGCGUAACACAUGCAAGUCGAACGAGCCGAGAGAUCGGCGAGUGGCGGACGGGUGAGGAACACGUGGAUAACCGACCCUUGACUGGGGAAUACCAAGACGAAAGUUUUGUUAAUACCGCAUACGCUGGGGACAGGAAAGCUCUUCGGAGCGGUCGAGGACGGGUCUGCGGACGAUUAGCUAGUUGGUGCGGGUAAUGGCUCACCAAGGCGAUGAUCGUUAGCUGGU